rnacentral:misc_RNA from 1 species
GCUCAACCAUGAUUUUAGGAUCUAUUGAGACUCUUUUUCUUUCUUUCUCAAAACUAUGAAAAUAAUGUAUCUAGACUUUACUUCUUUCAUCAUCAAGGAUUUACAAGUUUGUUCAAUAUUGCUCAAAAGUGUCAAGUAUCGAGAAUUGUGAUCGAUUAUAAUCACUUAUUGUUAACGAGGCGAAGUAUAUUAAAUCCAAGACAAAAUGAAAAGAGAAGCUAAAAUCCUAAAAGUGGAGCAUCAAACAUGUAAAUGCAUUUUUACUUAUUUCGACGGAAUAGAGCUUUCGUUGAACCAUUCAUACAUGGAGUGAUCGAGCUAUUGUUUGGACCGUAUUAACGGAUCAACAUGUAUUCAUGUUUUGAUAUCAUGUUAAUUUGUUAUGGGGUUCCAAUUCUAAAUCAAUUUGGCAAUAAAUAAAUUAACUCAUGUCUUUUAUGUAUUACUCAAAUCCAUUUUCAUCUCUGAUGUGAGACCUUUCUUCACAAUAUAUCAAAUAACUGGGUUUGAAACCUUUUUCGAAA